rnacentral:rRNA from 1 species
AUUAAAGGGCCGCGGUAUUUUAACCGUGCAAAGGUAGCAUAAUCAUUAGGUUUUUAAUUAGAAUCUUGUAUGAAUGGUUCGACAAAAGAAAUACUGUCUUUAUGUUAAAAUUUGAAUUUAACUUUUAAGUGAAAAGGCUUAAAUAUAUUAAAGGGACGAUAAGACCCUAUAAAACUUUACAUUGUAAUUUUAUUUAAUUAAAUUUAUAAGAUAAAAAUUUGAUUUAAUUAUAUGUUAUGUUGGGGAGACAGAAGUAAAAAUAAAUUUUAACUGCUUUAUGUUAAAACAUAUAUUUAUGAAAUAUUAAAUGAUCCUUUAUAAAGAUUAAAAGAUUAAGUUACUUUAGGGAUAACAGCGUUAUUUUUUUUGAGAGUUCCUAUCGAAAAGAAAGUUUGCGACCUCGAUGUUGAAUUAAAAUAUCUUUAUAGUGCAGAAGCUAUAAAAGAAGGUCUGUUCGACCUUUAAAUUUUUACAUGAUUUGAGUUCA